ensembl:snoRNA
CCUUCAUUUCUUGGCAGGGAGGGGGCUUGCGGUCCUGGUCCCCGUAAUGCAGGGAGUAGAGGGAAAGAGGUAAGGCUCUGGCCCCCUUGGCAUCAUGUCUUCGGUACCGGCGGCUUCUAGUCUGCCGGUUCUAUCCUCAAGAGCCAGGACAUGG